UAAAACAAAGGGGAAGUUCCAAGAAAAUUUCUAAUGGGAGCUGCUGACAGAGAUAAAAAACACAGUUUGUUUAUUUCUAAUAAAUAGCUGGAGGCUGUGGAGAAGCAGAUCUGUGACCUUGUGGAGAAACAGGCCCAGCUGAGAGAGGGGAGAGCUGUGCUGGAAACAUUUAGGGGUUGUCGCUCAUAAGUCCAGGGUAAGUAUACAGCUAACCGUACUACCACCUCUACUCUGUGUGGUUCUCUGCACAGGCUUGGUGCACCCAGGACGCGAUCUUCCCAGAUGCCCACAGCGUUAGACAUGAGCCAGGACCUGGGCGACGACCUCUGUCCUUCCAACGAUCUUCAGGAGCUCCACUUCGCGAAACAGAACACUGUGAUCAGCGGAGACUCCAUCGUCCGACACGUCCGUGCUAUGUUAGCCGAAGGGCAGUUUGUGAAGACAGAUAAUCAAGAGAAGUCAGUUCCAGAUCCACCCUCCACACCAGGGGCC